rnacentral:ribozyme from 1 species
GCUGUUGCUAGUUUUAGUUCGCCAUAUUUCGACAGAGAUGGGCUAUGGGCGAUGGGCAUUGGCAUUGUCCUUGGUCUGAUCGUCCUUUUGGUUCUUACUGCAUUUCCU